ACAAUCUACCCCCUACUGUGGGAUAGCCCAGAGAAAUUUGGAUUAAGACCACAUGGUACCAUUUUACGGCAUCGUAUUAAUGGUUAAAGGUUACGGUAGGGGAUGAGUAUGCGUCCCAUUAGUUAGUUGGCGAGGUAACGGCUCACCAAGACCGGGAUGGGUAGGGGCCCUGAGAGGGGGAUCCCCCACACUGGUACUGAGACACGGACCAGACUCCUACGGGAGGCAGCAGUGAGGAAUAUUGGACAAUGGGCGGGAGCCUGAUCCACCCAUGCCGCGUGCAGGAAGAAUGCCCUAUGGGUAGUAAACUGCUUUUAUACGGGAAGAAAAAGAGCUACGUGUAGCUUACUGACGGUACCGUAAGAAUAAGGACCGGCUAACUCCGUGCCAGCAGCCGCGGUAAUACGGAGGGUCCGAGCGUUAUCCGGAAUUAUUGGGUUUAAAGGGUCCGUAGGCGGGCCGAUAAGUCAGUGGUGAAAGUUUGCAGCUCAACUGUAAAAUUGCCUUUGAUACUGUCGGUCUUGAGUUAUAGUGAAGUUGCCGGAAUAUGUAGUGUAGCGGUGAAAUGCAUAGAUAUUACAUAGAACACCGAUUGCGAAGGCAGGUGACUAACUAUAUACUGACGCUGAUGGACGAAAGCGUGGGGAGCGAACAGGAUUAGAUACCCUGGUAGUCCACGCCGUAAACGAUGGAUACUAGCUGUCCGGGUCCUUGAGACCUGGGCGGCCAAGCGAAAGUGAUAAGUAU
rnacentral:rRNA from 1 species